AUGCCCGAUGGUGUGAAUGAAACAACAAUAGUUCUCAUACCAAAAGGGAAUGACCCUCAGAGUAUAAAAGACUAUCGCCCGAUAAGCCUCUGCAACAUUAUCUACAAGGUAAUCUCCAAUGUUUUGGUUAAUCGGUUGUGCCCAUACCUUGGUGAGCUAAUCUCAGAAUCUCAAAGUGCAUUUGUUCCUGAGAGAAUGAUAACGGAUAGUGCUAUUAUAGCGUUUGAAUGCUUCCACAAAAUCUAG
rnacentral:rRNA from 1 species